rnacentral:rRNA from 1 species
GUUGUAUGGUUAAGUGACUAAGCGUAGACGGUGGAUGCCUUGGCAGUCAGAGGCGAUGAAGGACGUAUUAACUUGCGAUAAGCCCAGAUAAGGCAGUAAAAGCCAUUUGAGUCUGGG